rnacentral:rRNA from 1 species
CGCGUGCACUGGUCCGGCCGGGCCUUUCCUUCUGUGGAACCCCAUGCCCUUCACUGGGUGUGGCGGGGAAACAGGACUUUUACUUUGAAAAAAUUAGAGUGCUCCAGGCAGGCCUAUGCUCGAAUACAUUAGCAUGGAAUAAUAAAAUAGGACGUGUGGUUCUAUUUUGUUGGUUUCUAGGACCGCCGUAAUGAUUAAUAGGGACAGUCGGGGGCAUCAGUAUUCAGUUGUCAGAGGUGAAAUUCUUAGAUCUACUGAAGACUAACUACUGCGAAAGCAUUUGCCAAGGAUGUUUUCAUUAAUCAGGAACGAAAGUUAGGGGAUCGAAGACGAUCAGAUACCGUCGUAGUCUUAACCAUAAACUAUGCCGACUAGGGAUCGGACGAUGUUAUUUUUUGACUCGUCCGGCACCUUACGAGAAAUCAAAGUGCUUGGGCUCCAGGGGGAGUAUGGUCGCAAGGCUGAAACUUAAAGAAAUUGACGGAAGGGCACCACCAGGGGUGGAGCCUGCGGCUUAAUUUGACUCAACACGGGGAAACUCACCAGGUCCAGACACAAUAAGGAUUGACAGAUUGAGAGCUCUUUCUUGAUUUUGUGGGUGGUGGUGCAUGGCCGUUCUUAGUUGGUGGAGCGAUUUGUCUGCUUAAUUGCGAUAACGAACGAGACCUUAACCUGCUAACUAGCCCGUAUUGCUCAGGCAGUACGCCGGCUUCUUAGAGGGACUAUCGG